UACGUAGGUGGCGAGCGUUGUCCGGAUUUACUGGGCGUAAAGAGCGCGCAGGCGGUCGUACAAGUCGCGUGUGAAAGCCCCGGGCUCAACCUGGGAAUGGCGAUGGAUACUGGCGGGCUAGAGUGCGGUAGAGGAGAGUGGAAUUCCCGGUGUAGCAGUGAAAUGCGUAGAGAUCGGGAGGAACAUCAGUUGCGAAGGCGGCUCUCUGGACCAGCACUGACACUGAGGCACGAAAGCGUGGGGAGCAAACAGG
rnacentral:rRNA from 1 species